GGUUGGAGAUAGGCUAACAUGUAGUUGUAACUAGUUAAUAAAGAGUUAUGUUAAGAAACAUCCUGUGGUUCUGCGUUUUAUUAUGUUGUACAAAGCGUACAAAACAAGACAUGGUGUCAGAAUAAAUGGUCUUAAAAGAUGGAUUUUUCUGGAGUUCCUUCACCUCGAAUGGACUGGGAGUCUACAAACUUACCCGAUGCAUGGCGUAAGUACAAACAGCAUGUGGAGCUAAUGUUCACGGGUCCUCUGAAGGAAAGAGGAGAAGAGGAAAAAUGUAGCUACCUGCUCCUCUGGAUCGGU